GCGUUAGACGAACGGUCUGGAAAGUCCGACGAUACAGGGUGAUAGUCCCGUAGUUGACGACGUGUGUUCAGUGAAAUCGAGUAGGGCGGGACACGUGAUAUCCUGUCUGAAUAUGGGGGGACCAUCCUCCAAGGCUAAAUACUACUGACUGACCGAUAGUGAACCAGUACCGUGAGGGAAAGGCGAAAAGAACCCCUGUGAGGGGAGUGAAAUAGAACCUGAAACCGUGUACGUACAAGCAGUAGGAGCAGGCUUUGUCCUGUGACUGCGUACCUUUUGUAUAAUGGGUCAGCGACUUAUAUUCAGUGGCAAGGUUAACCAUCUAGGGGAGCCGUAGGGAAACCGAGUCUUAACUGGGCGUUCAGUCUCUGGAUAUAGACCCGAAACCAGGUGAUCUAGCCAUGGGCAGGUUGAAGGUUGAGUAACAUCAACUGGAGGACCGAACCGACUAAUGUUGAAAAAUUAGCGGAUGACUUGUGGCUAGGGGUGAAAGGCCAAUCAAACCUGGAGAUAGCUGGUUCUCCCCGAAAGCUAUUUAGGUAGCGCCUCGGACGAAUACUACUGGGGGUAGAGCACUGUUAAGGCUAGGGGGUCAUCCCGACUUACCAACCCUUUGCAAACUCCGAAUACCAGUAAGUACUAUCCGGGAGACACACGGCGGGUGCUAACGUCCGUCGUGGAGAGGGAAACAACCCAGACCGCCAGCUAAGGUCCCAAAUUACUACUAAGUGGGAAACGAUGUGGGAAGGCUCAGACAGCCAGGAUGUUGGCUUAGAAGCAGCCAUCAUUUAAAGAAAGCGUAAUAGCUCACUGGUCGAGUCGGCCUGCGCGGAAGAUGUAACGGGGCUAAGUAGUAAACCGAAGCUGCGGCAAUGCACUUUGUGCAUUGGGUAGGGGAGCGUUCUGUAAGCGGUUGAAGGUGUGUGGUAACGCAUGCUGGACGUAUCAGAAGUGCGAAUGCUGACAUGAGUAACGAUAAAGGGGGUGAAAAACCUCCUCGCCGGAAGACCAAGGGUUCCUGUCCAACGUUAAUCGGGGCAGGGUAAGUCGACCCCUAAGGCGAGGCCGAAAGGCGUAGUCGAUGGGAAACGGGUUAAUAUUCCCGUACUUCUUACAAUUGCGAUGGGGGGACGGAGAAGGCUAGGUGGGCCUGGCGACGGUUGUCCAGGUUCAAGUGCGUAGGCUUAAGAGUUAGGUAAAUCCGGCUCU
rnacentral:rRNA from 1 species